rnacentral:lncRNA from 1 species
GAAGAGGGGAAAAUUACCCGAGCUAGCUACACUUAAUAUAUAAUUUCACAGUUGAGAGCAGAGUAUACAUUAAAGAUGAUGCAGAAGCAGACGUUGGCGAUAGCUCUGGCGUGGCUCCUGGUUGCGUCGUCAAUCAUGAUGUGCGAGUACGCAGCUGCAGACACUACUCCAUUGAAAACUGCUGACCAAGUUCUCCAUCCCCUAGCAGGUAAGAACCAACAUCCGAUCCUUUUGCUUUCGCAUCUGAUAUUCUGCAUGCAUAGUAUAUAUAUAUAUAUAUAUAUAUAUAUAUAUAUAUAUAUCUUGAAUGCAUGCAUGCAUGUGCAUUUACGUAAUAUAUAGUAAUUUAGAGUGUAUAUAUAUAUAUAUAGAGAGAGAGAGAGAACUAACUAUAUAUGCUUGCUAAUGGAUACAAUAUACACUACUUGAAGGUUGUCGCUGCUGCAACUUCAUUCGUGUGAAAGGGUUUAUCCAAUGCGGAACAGUUUGUUGUGUGGAUGGAUGUUGCGGUCGCAAGUGAAGCACCUGCAAUGCAGCUACACAGACAAUAAUAUGAAUCAUGGUGGUGGUGUUGCACAAUAAGAUGAAUAAUGGUGGUCAAAAGUUGCAACAUCGCUGAAGCAAUCAAAGCCCCCCUUAUAGAUUUCCCUGUUUGUUUGUUUUGCAUUCCUAUCGAGUUAUAUAAUGUUUGUCGAAAAGAUCCUGUUUAAUGAAAAAUUAAUGUCUGGAAAUCUGGGUGUUUCAGCAGGAUUUCUUUACGUUGAUGUAUCAUGUAUGUAUGUCUACAUGAGGAUAUAUCUAUCUAUAUAAAAGCGAUCGACUCGUUAAUCUAAAAGUAUCAUUCAUUUCAAGAGUUUGAUUCACAAUCUGUCAUGCCUACUAAUUUCAAGGAACAACUAGAUGAACUGCUGACACAAGAAAAACUGUUUAUGCUCCAUACCAACCCAAACAUACAAAACUGCACCUUUUUAUAGUCAUUUCAUGAUACUUACUUACCAUAUGAAUACAGAGUAUAAAACCCCCUUUUUUUGGAAUACAAAGUUUAAAAAUAGAUCAAUCAUUCUCAAUGGGAUCGAUUCUUAUUUGCAUUAAUUAAUACAUAAAUAUUUUUUGCAGUAAGAUUUUCUUCAGGGACAGAGCCAGAAUUUGUUCUUUGGAGGGACCAAAAAUUUUUUUAACAUCAUAAAAUAUAUUCAUUACUAAAAAGUAAAAUUUCACUAUUACAAAACAUAUUUUUACUAAAACAAAAAUAAUAUAUUAAUAGAAUUUGCUUUGACAAAGAUAAUGAAACAUAGAAAAAAAAAGUAUUUUAAAACAUAUCAAAACUUCGUCAAAACUUGGGGAGCUAUAGUCUUGCACAAUUUUCAAAACAAACUAAAUGUACAAGUGAAUUUUAUAAAUUUUCAAACUUUGGGGUGAAUCUUACUGUUAACACCAAGAUCUUCUGUCACGUCCCAAUCACGUAAGACAUUCUGAUCAUGCACAAUAAACACAGUCAACACCAAAAGCUUGACGGCUUGACCGUCGGGGGAUAGCUCCGGCGUGAGAGUCAGUACAGACGAUCACAAGGUUAACAAUGACGGAAUAAAUAUCUAGUGACUUAAGAGCAAUAAUUAAUUAGUUACCUUUCACCGUGUGUCAUCCUUGCUUUAUAUCCCCAAAGUCCGGUUUGUCAUGUAUGCAACUGACUUUUCGGGCCCACCGUUUUUAGCCAACUAAGCCCUGUCCAAUCCUCAUUAAAUGCAAUGCAGAGAUGAUAGUCAAAGUUCUAUCCCCAAUCUACACCGGUCAAAGCCCAAGUGGAACCAUACUCAUCUAGUAAUUCGGCCCACUGUCACAGCCCAAUAUUUCAUAAGCCCCAAAAUAAAGAUAAUAUCCACCCAAUGGGUUAGCCCAAUGAACCGGCCUAAUACUUUCAAGACCCACCUCAACAUGUUUAAAGUAUUAUGGCCCAACACUUACAAAAAUUUCAAACCUUAGGGGGGCCGUGGCCCCCUCCAACCUCCAUGUAGCUCCGUCCCUGAUUUUCUUUUUGGUUGCCUGUGACAUCACACCAUGGGAUCGACAUUCUUCUCAUCAUUAUACUUUUUGUUGACCGUGUAUAAUUGCACGUAUUUACUGAUUGCGAAAUUGGACAACAAGAUUUAUAAAAGGCAAGCAAAUUCAAUCCAAUAGUAACGAUCAAGAUUAAAAAAAGUUGAAUUGUUCUCAAACUCACAAGAGAUCUACUGUACGAUAUAGAACAACAUGUUCUGUUGCUAAGUCUUUCAUUACUAACUUCAAGCUACUUAGCAACACCCCAAAUCACACUAUCUCUUAGUGAUUGUUUAGGUCUUAGUGAUCCAUUGUAUCCAAGUCUUAGUGACUUGAAGAGUUCUUAGUGAUCUACUGUAUGUAAGUGUUUGUGACUUGAAGAAAUUUUAGUGAUUUAUUGAGUGCAACUAUUAUAUGUGAACAUCUGUGUGAUCAGUCAUCCUUAGUGAAAAAGUAGAAGAGUGAACUAUAAAACCUUUGUAUUCUGAAUCAUUUAAAAUUUGUGUGUCCCCUUUAUAUUCUGCACUUACUUUUCUGUCAACUUCUUUAAUUUGUUUGAGAUUUAAUUCCAAUUGAUUGCUAAAUUCAAAAUUACAAAUUCUUUCAAAUUUUUGAAGGGAUUUUUCAAAUUAUUAUUCCGCAAUGCAUAAUUAUAAAUUAAUCUGCUUAAUUUAUAAAUCGGUAAUAAUUUCUUUUAAAAAAAUUUAAAAUCUAUUUAACCCACCUCUAAAUCUCUUGGUGCAUUUGGAAUAUAACAAAAACUUUGACACUUCCUGUGGGUUCUAUCCAGUGGAAAGAUAAUCACAAAAAUUUCUCUAGUCAAAGGGCAGAUAUGUAAAACGAAAGGGCCUACCUUACCCACUUUUAAGUCGCAAGUAAAUUGCCUUAAAUAUUUAAUAACUUGCAAAAGUGACUCCAAUAGAAAGAUUUCUAUCUAUCAAUCUGGCAAACGUGGAAUUCACUACUGAGGAGUAAUGGGAAAUGGACUCGAGUCAUGGGAAACGUGGAAUUCCAAAUGGAUGAUUUCAUUUAUUUUAAAUUAUUUAUCGUUUUAUAUAAUUUACAAGAAUUAAUUACAAUUUUUUUUAAAAUUACUUCUCAUAAAAAAUUGUUAUAGAUGUGAAAUAAAUAUGAUAAUAAAUGAGAAUUUAAACGUAUUAUAAAUAUUUGAUAUUAUAUUUAAUCAUUUAUUUAAUUCUUGUACACAACUUUAAAACAUCAGAAAGGGGACCAUGCUCGUGAGUUUUUUCACUUCAAUUACCAAGAGAAACCAAUUAGGAAAUGACCGACAAGCAGGCCUAUGGAAUAUCUUUAAAAUAUGAGUAAUGCUACAAACACAAACUAUUUUACAAAUAUUUUACAAACUGCUGAUGUGGCAUACUCCACAUCACCAUAUUGAUUAACGACUUGUUUAAAUAUAGUCUUCGGCCCCACACAAUAUGCUGAGAUGGAAUACUUUGUGUCUUUAGCAUUAUUCUUAAAAUAUUAUUCGACUAUAAAUAAAAUAAAAUAAAAUAAAAACACAACAACUUGAACGUACGUCAAGACAAGACAAUAGUCAAGGACUUAUUGAUUCUUGUUUUGUGGAAGAAUAUAAGUACACUUGGGUGAACAACACCCAAGCUAUUGAUAUUGAAUGUGAAUGUAAAUCAAGUUGCGGCCUAACAUGGACAAAUGAGUAAUGGCUGAUUGACCAGCUGGAAAUUAAGAAUCGCUCUCCUCAAUCUCCUAUUUGCUUUAUAAAUAGAAUGCAAGAGAAGAGGGGAAAAUUAUAUACCCGAGCUAGCUAGCUACACUUGAUAAUUUCACAGUUGAGAGUAGAGUAUACAUUAAAGAUGAUGCAGAAGCAGACGUUGGCGAUAGCUCUGGUGUGGCUCCUGGUUGCGUCGUCAAUCAUGAUGUGCGUGUUCGCAGCUGCAGACACUACUCCAUUGAAAACUGCUGACCAAGUUCUCCAUCCCCUAGCAGGUAAGAACCAACAUCCGAUCCUUUUGCUUUCGCAUCUGUUCUACAAAUUAAUAUUAAUCUGCAUGCAUACUAACUAUAUAUGCUUGCUAAUGGAUACAUAUAUAUACACUACUUGAAGGUUGUCGCUGCUGCAACUACAUUAAAGUGAGAGAGUUUUUCAAUUGCAACAAAGUUUGUUGUGUGGAUGGAUGUUGCGGUCGCAAGUGAAGCACCUGCAAUGAAGCUACACAGACAAUUAUAUAUAAUAUGAAUCAUGGUUGUGUAGUUGCACAAUAAGAUGAAUAAUGGUGGUCAAAAGUUGCAACAUCUCUGAAGCAAUUAAUCAACCNNNNNNNNNN